UAUGGUUUGACCCAUCUAUCGAACGAUCUCAUGAGUUCCUUACUCAAAGAUAUGGAGAAGAUCCCAACAAUGUCUUUGACUCAAAGUCAGUCAAUCAAUAAAGAUUUCUUGGCAACAUAUACCAAAGAUCCGACAAGCCACAGCUUUCUCCUCUCUAUCUGCA